AACGAACGCUGGCGGCAUGCCUAACACAUGCAAGUCGAACGAGACCUUCGGGUCUAGUGGCGCACGGGUGCGUAACGCGUGGGAACCUGCCCUUAGGUUCGGAAUAACUCCCCGAAGGGGGUGCUAAUACCGGAUAAUGUCUUCGGACCAAAGAUUUAUCGCCUUUGGAUGGGCCCGCGUUGGAUUAGCUAGUUGGUAGGGUAAAAGCCUACCAAGGCGACGAUCCAUAGCUGGUCUGAGAGGAUGAUCAGCCACACUGGGACUGAGACACGGCCCAGAAUCGUACGGGAGGCAGCAGUGGGGAAUAUUGGACAAGGGGCGAAAGCCUGAUCCAGCAAUGCCGCGUGAGUGAUGAAGGCCUUAGGGUUGUAAAGCUCUUUUACCCGGGAUGAUAAUGACAGUACCGGGAGAAUAAGCUCCGGCUAACUCCGUG
rnacentral:rRNA from 1 species